rnacentral:rRNA from 1 species
GAUGAACGCUGGCGGCGUGCCUAAUACAUGCAAGUCGAGCGAACAGACGAGGAGCUUGCUCCUCUGACGUUAGCGGCGGACGGGUGAGUAACACGUGGAUAACCUACCUAUAAGACUGGGAUAACUUCGGGAAACCGGAGCUAAUACCGGAUAAUAUAUUGAACCGCAUGGUUCAAUAGUGAAAGACGGUUUUGCUGUCACUUAUAGAUGGAUCCGCGCCGCAUUAGCUAGUUGGUAAGGUAACGGCUUACCAAGGCAACGAUGCGUAGCCGACCUGAGAGGGUGAUCGGCCACACUGGAACUGAGACACGGUCCAGACUCCUACGGGAGGCAGCAGUAGGGAAUCUUCCGCAAUGGGCGAAAGCCUGACGGAGCAACGCCGCGUGAGUGAUGAAGGUCUUCGGAUCGUAAAACUCUGUUAUUAGGGAGGAACAAAUGUGUAAUUAACUAUGCACGUCUUGACGGUACCUAAUCAGAAAGCCACGGCUAACUACGUG